rnacentral:rRNA from 1 species
CAGUCGCCACGGUAAUACGUAGGGUGCAAGCGUUAAUCGGAAUUACUGGGCGCAAAGCGUGCGCAGGCGGUUCGCUAAGACAGAUGUGAAAUCCCCGGGCUUAACCUGGGAACUGCAUUUGUGACUGGCGGGCUAGAGUAUGGCAGAGGGGGGUAGAAUUCCACGUGUAGCAGUGAAAUGCGUAGAGAUGUGGAGGAAUACCGAUAGCGAAGGCAGCCCCCUGGGCCAAUACUGACGCUCAUGCACGGAAGCGUGGGGAGCAAACAGGAUUAGAGACCCGCGUAGUCCCUGUCUCUUAUAC